rnacentral:rRNA from 1 species
GACGAACGCUGGCGGCGUGCUUAACACAUGCAAGUCGAACGGAAAGGCCCUGCUUUUGUGGGGUGCUCGAGUGGCGAACGGGUGAGUAACACGUGAGUAACCUGCCCUUGACUUUGGUAUAACUUCAGGAAACUGGGGCUACUACCGGAUAGGAGCUCCUGCUGCAUGGUGGGGGUUGGUAAGUUUCGGCGGUUGGGGAUGGACUCGCGGCUUAUCAGCUUGUUGGUGGGGUAGUGGCUUACCAAGGCUUUGACGGGUAGCAGGCCCGAGAGGGUGACCGGCGACAUUGGGACUGAGAUACGGCCCAGACUCCUACGGGAGGCAGCAGUGAGGAAUAUUGCACAAUGGGCGGAAGCCUGAUGCAGCAACGCCGCGUGCGGGAUGACGGCCUUCGGGUUGGAAACCGCUUUCGCCUGUGACGAAGCGUGAGUGACGGUAAUGGGCAAAGAAGCACCGGCUAACUACGUG